ACGGCUCAGUAACACGUGGACAACCUACCCUUAGGACUGGGAUAAACCUGGGAAACUGGGUAUAAUACCGGAUAGGUCUCGAAUGCUGGAAUGCAUCGAGACUGAAAGCUCCGGCGCCUAAGGAUGGGUCUGCGGCCUAUCAGGGUAGUAGUGGGUGUAAUGUACCUACUAGCCUACGACGGGUACGGGUCGUGAGAGCGAGAGCCCGGAGAUGGAUUCUGAGACACGAAUCCAGGCCCUACGGGGUGCAGCAGGCGCGAAAACUUUACAAUGCUGGAAACAGCGAUAGGGGGACUUUGAGUGCCAGGAUACAAUCUUGGCUGUCGUCGUGCCUAAAAAGCACGGCAUAGCAAGGGCCGGGCAAGACCGGUGCCAGCCGCCGCGGUAACACCGGCGGCUCGAGUGGUAACCGCUAUUAUUGGGUCUAAAGGGUCUGUAGCCGGCUGGAAAAGUCUCUUGGGAAAUCCGGCAGCUCAACUGUCGGGCUAUCAGGAGAUACUCUUCAGCUCGAGGCCGGGAGAGGUGAGAGGUACUUCAUGGGUAGGGGUGAAAUCUUGUAAUCCUUGAAGGACCACCAGUGGCGAAGGCGUCUCACCAGAACGGACCUGACGGCAAGGGACGAAAGCUAGGGGCACGAACCGGAUUAGAUACCCGGGUAGUCCUAGCCGUAAACGAUACUCGCUAGGUGUCGGCCACGGUGCGACCGUGGUCGGUGCCGUAGGGAAGCCGUGAAGCGAGCCACCUGGGAAGUACGGCCGCAAGGCUGAAACUUAAAGGAAUUGGCGGGGGAGCAC
rnacentral:rRNA from 1 species